UGGUACCCGAGGCCGGGCCGGAGCCGCAGGCCAGCCGCGAUUCCUUCGGGCGAUGCUGGGGGCUUUCCGGUCGGGGCCGCAGCCGCUUCCGGAGCCGCGGGCGAGGUGCAAGCGGUCUUCUCUGUCUUCUUUAUGGCCAGUAAAAUUCUCCAGAAGAGAUUUAUGGCAGCCUCACUCCCAGUAGUUUCUGCAUUUAGUGAGAUAAGCCACAGCAAUUGUCUGCUAUUUUAAAAGCACUGUGAUGCUUAAAUAUUCCAGCUGCUACAUCGGACAGGUGUCUGAUGAUCCUGAGAACAGUCAUCAAAAAGUAGAACUUGAGCCUGGAAUACAUUCUCUGGCAUAGCCAUAGUCAAUCACCAGUAUAAUUAAUGUAAAUGGACACUGGAUAGCUUUUUUGUGAAUUCUGAUGCAGCACAAAGAGACUUUAAUUGUUUCCAAAAAGAAAAUGUCUGAGAUUAAAAUCUAGAGUUUUAUGACUUAGAGGAAAUUUUAUAGCUUUACUCCAAAAAGGGUAAGGCACAAAAUAUUCUGUGCCAAAGGAUGCAUAUUUGGUAUUUUUCCUAUGAAUCCCUUAGUGUAAGUGGCAUGAUGAAAUUUUCUUGGUUUCAACACAGAUGAUGUGUUGAGGUAGUGUUGAGGCUGAGAGGUGGGUGGGAUGGGUCUUGGAGAAGGAAAAGAUUUGUUUUGCAAGGUUUGUGGAGAGCUGAUGCGGUAGUGAGGCUAAGACGAGGGGUAUUUACUUGCUACUUACAUUGAGUCCACUAACAUCUGCAGCACUUUGCUUGCAUUAUCCACGCAAUUAUCACGGGAAACCUAUAAAAUAAGUAUUCCUCUCCUCAUUUUACAAAUAGGGAAGCAGAUAAGAUUUAGAAAAUUUCCCAAACUCACACAAUUAUUAAAUGACAGAACUAGGACUCAAACCCAGGUUUUAUUAAUUUUAGAGACAUGUUUUUAACCACUUGGACACUGCCAACCAUGGAAUUGUUGGUAUGAAAAAAACGUACUCUUGAGUUAUAUUAUCCAUGGUCUUAAUAUCAGAGAAGUGCAGUUGAGUCGCUAUUAAAGAAUAUGGUAAAAUUAUAAAAUGGAUACUAUACAAAGGUAUAAAAAUAUUAUAAAUACUUAUGUUUGGGGUAAAAGGAUCAAAGUAGCCAUGCUCAGUGGAAGGGUAAGGAACUCUUAGCAGAGAUUGAUUAAUUGGGAGAUAAUUGAUUAAUUGGGAGUUGAUUGAUUAAUUGGGAUUUAUUAAUUUGGGAGUAGGUAGGAAGAUAGGAAGUUGUAUAAAAUAAGGGAGAGAUAACUUAGUACCUGGAAAAAAAGAAAUGGAAAUAGGUAGAAGCUAAGAGUUCAAUUAAAAAAAAGGAAUAAAAGAUAUUGGAAGGGAACGAUGAAUGUAGCAUGGAAGAUCCAAGAUGAUGGGAGUUCAGGGGCUAAUUACAGCUAUGGGGAAAAAGUAAUGUAUAAGCUGGAAGCCAGAGAUAAGAGCCAUGUAAAUGAAGAAGUUGGGCCCCAAUAGGAAAGAAUUAUAAGGACUAGAAGGAGCAGGAGCCAUGUGGAAAAAUAUCAUGUAGUACUUUUAAGCUUGAUCUGUCAUCUGUAGCAAAACCAGCAUGCUUGAGUACUGAAUUGACCUGACUGAACUAUGUUGAAAUGUACUGUGGUUUUAUAUCCAUAUGCACUUGGUCUGUGGAGUUGUGGGAAAAGCAUCAGUGAGUAGGAAGCCCAAGGAUUUGGGUCAAGUAUUAAAUAUGCUAUUUACUGUCUAGCUAUGUGACCUUAUAUAAGUCACUUGUGGUCUCUGAGCCUUCAUGUAUUCAUCCAUAAGAUGAGUUGUUGUUUAUAUUAAAUGGGAUGUGGUAUGUUAAAGAGCUGAAUGCAUAGUGAUACAGAAUUACUUUCUGUAAUACUAUUUUUUAAAUAUUUUAAAUGAAAAAUUAAUGAACUUAUAAAUUAAAAGAUUCAAAAGGGAUAAAAAGGUAUACAAUGAAAAGCAAUUCUCCUUCCCACCAGUAACUCUGUCCUACUCCUUAGGACAUUCACCAUAAACAGAUAUCCUGAAUUCUUCUAGAAAUAUUAUAUAUAAAAUCUUAUAUUUCUUAUGUUUCUUUUUUACUAUUUUAAAGGGGAUAAACUAAACUUUGCUUUUUUUCAUAUAAUAAUAUAUUCUGGAGAUCAUUUUCUAAAAGCACAUGUAAACAUACCUCAUUAUUAUAAAGGUUUGAAAAUAUCAAUUUAUUUGACCUGUCCCCUCUCGAUAGAUAAUUAGAUUGUAUCCAUCCCUUUGGUUAUUACCAACAGACACUAAUCACUUAUCAUGUACAUAUAGCCUGUUUUUUAGCAUUGUUAGACAAAGUAGGCAUAUUCCUUUCCAUCCAAGAACUCAUAACCUAGUAAUUGUAGUUGGCUGAUAGCUCAUUGCCCAUACACAAGGAUCUAACACAACCUCUUGAAUAAACAUCCCCCUUAUUCAGAAAUGCCUUUUCCUAUUUCCAUAUUGCAACUUUGCUUACAAAUUUCCAAUCUGUCUUUCUGUUUACAGAAGAUAUACAAAAUUCCUUUUGUAUGAUCUCUUUAUAUCUCUUGAUUUUCUUUUGUGUUUGCUACCAAAGGGCCUGCACAUAGUGAGAAGAUUGUGCAUGAUCUGUGAGCUCUACCACACCUGGAAUUAGGGAUCACCAAUAUGAGAAAAAAAAUUGGAGGUACAAAUAACAUUAUCAUAUGUAAUUGGCAUAUAAAUUACAGAUGUAUCUAUGACUAAAAACCCUGUGGAUAUAAACCAAAUGCAGAUAAAUAUAAUAAAAUAUAUAAAAAUAUAAUCAAAUAAUGAUAGUGCUAUUCAAAUACUUCAAAUUUGCACAGUGAUUUAUUUCUUAAAAUAUGUUAACACAUGUGAGCCAAUACACUGAGGUCACUGGAUAAAUAAACAGAUUCUUGCAAGUGCUUUGGAAAUGAAA
rnacentral:lncRNA from 10 species